rnacentral:rRNA from 1 species
UUCGGCCUACGGGACGCAGCAGUAGGGAAUCUUCCACAAUGGGCGAAAGCCUGAUGGAGCAACGCCGCAUGGGUGAAGAAGGUCUUCGGAUCGUAAAACCCUGUUGUUAGAGAAGAAAGUGCGUGAGAGUAACUGUUCACGUUUCGACGGUAUCUAACCAGAAAGCCACGGCUAACUACGUGCCAGCAGCCGCGGUAAUACGUAGGUGGCAAGCGUUAUCCGGAUUUAUUGGGCGUAAAGGGAACGCAGGCGGCCUUUUAAGUCUGAUGUGAAAGCCUUCGG